rfam:Trichobilharzia regenti genome assembly, scaffold: TRE_contig0015662
GUACUGCUGAAGAGUCCCAAAACUGGGACGAAACAGCUGUCCAGUAC